rnacentral:rRNA from 1 species
AUAUCAGUCAUGCAUAGCAUAUCAAUAAGCGGAGGAAAAGAAACUAACAAGGAUUCCCUUAGUAACGGCGAGUGAAGCGGGAAGAGCUCAAAUUUGAAAUCUUCAAGGUUUUACCUUGACGAAUUGUAGUUUAAAGAAGUGUUUUCUGUUGAAGUUUUGGUAAAAGUUCUUUGGAAUAGGACAUCGAUAGAGGGUGAGAAUCCCGUAUUUGACCAUUACUUUCAGCUUUGUGAUACACUUUCAAAGAGUCGGAUUGUUUGGGAAUGCAGUCCAAAAUGGGUGGUAAAUUUCAUCUAAAGCUAAAUAUUGGCGAGAGACCGAUAGCGAACAAGUACCGUGAGGGAAAGAUGAAAAGAACUUUGAAAAGAGAGUUAAACAGUACGUGAAAUUGUCAAAAGGGAAGCGUUUGACACCAGUGUUGUUUUCUCGAAAAUCAAUUAAAAAGAGUUGGAUUUUGUGCUGUACUGACUUUAUCAGGCUUUCUUCACUCUUUUCCAGCUUUUUUUAAUGCACUUUUCGUUUAACAAGUCAACAUCAGUUUCUUUUGUUGUAAAAAGGUCAUUGGAAGGUGGCUUUCUCUUCGGAGAAAGUGUUUAUAGCCUUUGACUCAUGCAAUCGGAGAGACUGAGGUCUGCAGCGUAGAUCCUUCGGGGUUAGAUACAUUUGUGCUAAGUUAUAGCUUUUCAUAGACAACUUGUUGACUAUGUUUAGUCUUGUAGCUUACUCGCUUAUGCUAUUUUACCUACGCUUAGGAUGUUGAACUCUAUCACACACAG